UGGGGGAUAUUGCACAAUGGGCGAAAGCCUGAUGCAGCGACGCCGCGUGGGGGAUGAAGGCUUUCGGGUUGUAAACCUCUUUCGCUAUCGAACAAGGCCCGCUUAGGGUGGGUUGAGGGUAGGUGGAGAAGAAGCGCCGGCUAACUACGUGCCAGCAGCCGCGGUAAUACGUAGGGCGCGAGCGUUGUCCGGAAUUAUUGGGCGUAAAGGGCUUGUAGGCGGCUUGUUGCGCCUGCUGUGAAAACGCGGGGCUUAACUUCGCGCGUGCAGUGGGUACGGGCAGGCUUGAGUGUGGUAGGGGUGACUGGAAUUCCAGGUGUAGCGGUGGAAUGCGCAGAUAUCUGGAGGAAUACCGGUGGCGAAGGCGGCCCCCUGGACAAAGACUGACGCUCAGGUGCGAAAGCGUGGGGAGCAAACAGG
rnacentral:rRNA from 1 species